UCCACGCAGUAAACGAUGAAUGUUAGUCGUCGGGUAGCUAGUCUAUUCGGUGAUGCAGCUAACGCAUUAAGUGUUCCGCCUGGGGAGUACGGCCGCAAGGCUAAAACUCAAAGGAAUUGACGGGGCCCCGCACAAGCGGCGGAGCAUGCGGCUUAAUUCGAUGCAACCCGAAGAACCUUACCUGGACUUGACAUCAUGGGUCUACCUGUAGAAAUAUAGGGUGCUUAUGCGCC
rnacentral:rRNA from 1 species